GCGGGCAUCUGCUAGUUAGUUAUAGUAACGACUAAUUUUGUGAGUAACUCAUGUCAAACUCAUUAUAUUGAAAAACUAAACACUUCCAAGUAAAGAUUUUUAUGUAAUCCUGUGAAGAUGAUACUGUUAUUGUCGAAAUUAGAA